rnacentral:rRNA from 1 species
AGGCGAUCGAGUUAAUCGUGGUGAAGGAACUCGGCAAAAUGCCCCCGUAACUUUGGGAUAAGGGGGACCUGAGCUGUCGUGCACCCGUGCGGUGUGGUGGCGGUGAGGGGCGCAGAGUCCAGGGGGAAACGACUGUUUACCAAAAACACAGGUCUCCGCAAAAUCGUAAGAUAAAAUAUGGGGGCUGACGCCUGCCCAGUGCCGGAAGGUUAAGGA